rnacentral:rRNA from 1 species
GACGAACGCUGGCGGCGUGCCUAAUACAUGCAAGUUGAGCGAUGAAGAUUGGUGCUUGCACCAAUUUGAAGAGCAGCGAACGGGUGAGUAACGCGUGGGGAAUCUGCCUUUGAGCGGGGGACAACAUUUGGAAACGAAUGCUAAUACCGCAUAACAACUUUAAACAUAAGUUUUAAGUUUGAAAGAUGCAAUUGCAUCACUCAAAGAUGAUCCCGCGUUGUAUUAGCUAGUUGGUGAGGUAAAGGCUCACCAAGGCGAUGAUACAUAGCCGACCUGAGAGGGUGAGCGGCCACAUUGGGACUGGGACACGGCCCAAACUCCUACGGGAGGCAGCAGUAGGGAAUCUUCGGCAAUGGACGAAAGUCUGACCGAGCAACGCCGCGUGAGUGAAGAAGGUUGUCGGAUCGUAAAACUCUGUUGGUAGAGAAGAACGUUGGUGAGAGUGGAAAGCUCAUCAAGUGACGGUAACUACCCAGAAAGGGACGGCUAACUACGUG